rnacentral:rRNA from 1 species
UACGUAGGGUGCGAGCGUUAAUCGGAAUUACUGGGCGUAAAGCGUGCGCAGGCGGUCUGUUAAGACCGAUGUGAAAUCCCCGGGCUUAACCUGGGAAUGGCCUAUGUGACUGGCAGGCUAGAGGAUGGCAGAGGGAGGCGGAAUUCCACGUGUAGCAGUGAAAUGCGUAGAGAUGUGGAGGAACACCGAUGGCGUAGGCAGCCUCCUGGGCCAAUUCUGACGCUCAGGCACGAAAGCGUGGGGAUCAAACAGG